rnacentral:rRNA from 1 species
GACGAACGCUGGCGGCGUGCUUAACACAUGCAAGUCGAACGGAAAGGCCCUGCUUUUGUGGGGUGCUCGAGUGGCGAACGGGUGAGUAACACGUGAGUAACCUGCCCUUGACUUUGGGAUAACUUCAGGAAACUGGGGCUAAUACCGGAUAGGAGCUCCUGCUGCAUGGUGGGGGUUGGAAAGUUUCGGCGGUUGGGGAUGGACUCGCGGCUUAUCAGCUUGUUGGUGGGGUAGUGGCUUACCAAGGCUUUGCCGGGUAGCCGGCCUGAGAGGGUGACCGGCCACAUUGGGAAUGAGAUACGGCCCAGACUCCUACGGGAGGCAGCAGUGGGGAAUAUUGCACAAUGGGCGGAAGCCUGAUGCAGCCACGCCGCGUGCGGGAUGACGGCCUUCGGGUUGUAAACCGCUUUCGCCUGUGACGAAGCGUGAGUGACGGUAAUGGGUAAAGAAGCACCGGCUAACUACGUG